rnacentral:rRNA from 1 species
GGGAGCGAUCAUACCAGUACUAAUGCACUGGAUCCCAUCAAAACUCUAAAGUUAUGCGUGUUUGGGCGAGAGUAGUAGUAGGAUGGGUGACCUCCUGAAAAGUCUUCGUGUUGCACCCU